rnacentral:other from 1 species
AUUAAAAUAAGACCGUUUCGGAGUGGAAAU